AUCACCCUGGGCUCCUCCCACUGCUUAGAGACUUGUGUUGUUGGGGCCAAGAGUCAUCGACCGCUGGGGGAUGAUGUUUCCGCCCAGUGAGUCAAGAUUGGAGAGCAUGCACGCCCCUCAACAGCCUUUUUCGGGAGCCCUGAGGGGACAGCCCAGUCUUCUCAUCUCACUUCCCAUUCUGGCGGGCCAGUCCCCAUUACCCUCUGCACUGACCUCGAUGAGGUAGAUCAAUGACGGUGCAUGGCUCUAGAUCACGUUCGUCCAUGUUGUCACAAAUGACAAGACGUUCUCCUGGAAAGGCUCAUGGGAUCGACUUCCUUUAUGCAACAUAGUGCCCCGCAGCCCCUCUGCUGCAUGGAUCAUGGACAACCCCGAUGCGGCAGGAGAGGAGAGGAAGACACAGUCCAUUCUUCUGGGCUCCAGAAAGCAGCCACAUGCUGCCCAUGGGCCCUGAUGGUGUCAGCUGUAGGGAAGUCAUGUUGGUGAAAUCUCCCAAGCAGACUAAAAAUUUUGCUGCACUGGUGGCACUCCCACCUGUCCCUCACAAGCCCCACUGAGAAGUUUGCUGACUGGCACACACAGUUUCUCCCAGGGGCAGUCACCCUCUCCCGACAUCACAAAUGAAGGGAAGGUACCCAGCCAGUGGGCCAGGCCAGCUCUGCGUCUGUGAUUCUUAGUGUCUCCUCGCUGGGACACAGAGCUACUCAGUCAGCCCUGAGCACAGGAGCCUGGAGGGAAGGGAGGGCCUCUGCUCUCACUCCUGGAGGAACACAGGCCAUGCUGUGGAGGACUGUCUGCCGCGGGCACGGUCUGUAGACUCUGAUCAGAAAACUAAGGCAAGUUGAUGGAUCCUUGUGAAGAGAAAAAAAGCCAAAUCCACAGGCUCUAAUUUUUACGUGUGAACCACUAGGCGAAAUUUCUGCAUCAUUAUAACUUUUUUGUUGUCUUUGGUUUGCUUUA